rnacentral:rRNA from 1 species
ACAUGCAGUCGAACGGCAGCACGGGAGCAAUCCUGGUGGCGAGUGGCGAACGGGUGAGUAAUGUAUCGGAACGUGCCCAAUCGUGGGGGAUAACGUAGCGAAAGUUACGCUAAUACCGCAUACGAUCUACGGAUGAAAGCGGGGGAUCGCAAGACCUCGCGCGAUUGGAGCGGCCGAUAUCAGAUUAGGUUGUUGGUGGGGUAAAGGCUCACCAAGCCGAUGAUCUGUAGCUGGUCUGAGAGGACGACCAGCCACACUGGGACUGAGACACGGCCCAGACUCCUACGGGAGGCAGCAGUGGGGAAUUUUGGACAAUGGGCGAAAGCCUGAUCCAGCAAUGCCGCGUGCAGGACGAAGGCCUUCGGGUUGUAAACUGCUUUUGUACGGAACGAAACAGCUCUUUCUAAUACAGAGAGCAAAUGACGGUACCGUAAGAAUAAGCACCGGCUAACUACGUGCCAGCAGCCGCGGUAAUACGUAGGGUGCAAGCGUUAAUCGGAAUUACUGGGCGUAAAGCGUGCGCAGGCGGUCUUUUAAGACAGAUGUGAAAUCCCCGGGCUUAACCUGGGAACCGCAUUUGUGACUGAAAGGCUAGAGUACGGCAGAGGGGGAUGGAAUUCCGCGUGUAGCAGUGAAAUGCGUAGAUAUGCGGAGGAACACCGAUGGCGAAGGCAAUCCCCUGGGCCUGUACUGACGCUCA